rnacentral:misc_RNA from 1 species
GGUGAAGAACGUAGCGAAAUGCGAUAAGUAAUGUGAAUUGCAGAAUUCAGUGGAUCAUCGAAUCUUUGAACGCACAUUGCGCCCGCCAGUAUUCUGGCGGGCAUGCCUGUUCGAGCGUCAUUACAACCCUCAGGCCCCCGGGCCUGGCGUUGGGGAUCGGCGGAAGCCCCCUGCGGGCACAACGCCGUCCCCCAAAUACAGUGGCGGUCCCGCCGCAGCUUCCAUUGCGUAGUAGCUAACACCUCGCAACUGGAGAGCGGCGCGGCCACGCCGUAAAACACCCAACUUCUGAAUGUUGACCUCGAAUCAGGUAGGAAUACCCGCUGAACUUAAGCAUAUCAAUAAGCGGAGGA